AACGAACGCUGGCGGCAGGCUUAACACAUGCAAGUCGAACGCCCCGCAAGGGGAGUGGCAGACGGGUGAGUAACGCGUGGGAAUCUACCCAGAUCUACGGAACAACAGAGGGAAACUUCUGCUAAUACCGUAUACGCCCUACGGGGGAAAGAUUUAUCGGAUUUGGAUGAGCCCGCGUAAGAUUAGCUAGUUGGUGGGGUAAUGGCCUACCAAGGCGACGAUCUUUAGCUGGUCUGAGAGGAUGAUCAGCCACACUGGCACUGAGACACGGCCCAGCCUCCUACGGGAGGCAGCAGUGGGGAAUAUUGGACAAUGGGCGCAAGCCUGAUCCAGCCAUGCCGCGUAAGUGAUGAAGGCCUUAGGGUUGUAAAGCUCUUUCACCGAUGAAGAUAAUGACGGUAGUCGGAGAAGAAGCCCCGGCUAACUUCGUGCCAGCCGCCGCAGUAA
rnacentral:rRNA from 1 species